AUGUAUUGUAUCUUCACAUGUAAGUACUUUGUCUUUAUAGGUAUCAUCAGUCAAGACCUCACUCCAGUGAAGAAUGAAGUGAAGAGUUUAGAGAGUGACACUGUUACAUUGUCCUACAGCUACUCCAAAACUGCUGCAGCUGGAGAUGAAUUCUACUGGUAUCGACGAGAUCAUGUAAAACCACCUAGAUUCCUUGUGUCAGUCUUAGGAUUUGAGUCCUCAAAUACAACUAGCAACCUCAACAAUCGAAUAUCUGCUAACCUGAACAGAGAGAACCGCCUGAAUCUGAUCAUCUCUUCUACUGAAGUGACAGACUCUGCUCUAUACUACUGUGCUGUGAGGCCCACAGUGACAGGAAACACAGACACACUGCACAAAAACUACAGGAACUGA